rnacentral:misc_RNA from 1 species
AAGUCGUAACAAGGUUUCCGUAGGUGAACCUGCGGAAGGAUCAUUACCAAUUUAAUCCAAAUCUCAACCCAUGUGCACGAUGAUUGUUUGUCCUUGGGGUGAUGUUUGUUCGUGAGUGCGCCUUGUGUGUUCUGUAUUGAAUAAAUAGUCACCCCGCUAUUGUUAACAAAAUCCUUUUUGUAUUUACAUGGCAUCCUGUCUUGCUUAAUAAUAAAGUAUGACAACUUUUAACGGUGGAUCUCUUGGCUCGUG